rnacentral:rRNA from 1 species
UACAGAGGGUGCAAGCGUUUGUUCGGAAUUACUGGGCGUAAAGCGCACGUAGGCGGCUUUUGUAAGUUAGAGGUGAAAGCCCAGGGCUUAACCCUGGAAUUGCCUUUAAGACUGCAUCGCUAGAAUCGUGGAGAGGUGAGUGGAAUUCCGAGUGUAGAGGUGAAAUUCGUAGAUAUUCGGAAGAACACCAGUGGCGAAGGCGACUCACUGGACACGUAUUGACGCUGAGGUGCGAAAGCGUGGGGAGCAAACAGG